AAUCAACGCUGGCGGCGUGCCUAACACAUGCAAGUCGAACGAGAAAGGGGCUUCGGCCCUGAGUAAAGUGGCGCACGGGUGAGUAACACGUGACUAACCUACCCUGGAGUGGGGAAUAACUUCGAGAAAUCGAGGCUAAUACCGCAUAACACCUACGGGUCAAAGGAGCAAUUCGCCUCAGGAGGGGGUCGCGGCAGAUUAGUUAGUUGGCAGGGUAAUGGCCUACCAAGACAGUGAUCCGUAUCCGGCCUGAGAGGGCGCACGGACACACUGGAACUGAAACACGGUCCAGACUCCUACGGGAGGCAGCAGUGGGGAAUUUUGCGCAAUGGGGGAAACCCUGACGCAGCAACGCCGCGUGGAGGAUGAAGUCUCUUGGGACGUAAACUCCUUUCGACCGGGACGAUAAUGACGGUACCGGAAGAAGAAGCCCCGGCUAACUUCGUGCCAGCCGCCGCAGUAAGAC
rnacentral:rRNA from 1 species